UAACGAAUCUUCCCCAAUGCACGAAAGUGUGAGGGAGCGACGCCGCGUGGAGGAUGAAGUCCUUCGGGAUGUAAACUCCUGUCAGGGGUUACCAAGUUCUGAGGAACCCCAGAGGAAGAGGCGGCUAACUCUGUGCCAGCAGCCGCGGUAAGACAGAGGCCUCAAGCGUUAGGCGGAAUCACUGGGCUUAAAGCGUGUGUAGGCGGACUUUUAAGUGCCUUGUGAAAUCCCACGGCUUAACCGUGGAACUGCUGGGCAUACUGGGAGUCUUGAGCUGUCUAGGGGCGACUGGAACAAACGGUGGAGCGGUGAAAUGCGUAGAUAUCGUUUGGAACGCCAAUGGUGAAAACAGGUCGCUGGGGACAUGCUGACGCUGAGACACGAAAGCCAGGGGAGCAAACGGGAUUAGAUACCCCCGUAGUCC
rnacentral:rRNA from 1 species